rnacentral:lncRNA from 1 species
CGUUUAACCUGUUUAUGAAACAGAUAACCUAUCUAACCGAUCCGAUUCAAUCCAUUUAACUUAUUUACUAAAUAAAUAAUCUGUUUACUAGACCCAACAUGAUCUGACCUAUUUAACUUGUUUGUUUAAAAAAAUUAAUUAUUUUUGGGCCUUGGGCCCAAUACUAUUUGAAUUUUAAUCUGUUAGUUCAAACCAAGAGAUAAUCCAUCUC